GAAACUGUUUUUGCAACCAUAUAGCACUUGGUCGAGCAUAUUUCCUGAUGCUGCCUUCAUGUCCUGUCGGAAAUAUACACGUUAGGCCUACCAGAUGAUAGGACCCAAAGAUUGAAAUCGCUGAGCUACUUGUCCCCGAAGGCUUCCCAUAAAUCCCUGUGAUGUCUGUGCCAAGAUCCUCCAGCCAGGGAUGUCGUCUCCGAAUCUGAGAUAGCUUUGUUUUCCUCUGAUGUCAGCUGACCUUCACACAGGAAGUCAUGGAUCUUCUGCAAUGAAUCCAAUUCUGAGCGCCAAAGUGCAGUUCUGGCUCUGAUGAACUGAGAGACUUCAGAUUUGCUGCCUUUGGCCAGACUGAUGCUGUCCUUACAGAUGAAGAAGAUAUCCAUGCCGAGGAAAAGAGCAUUGAGCCCGAUGAGCCCGGCCCUGGCUGACUUGGAGAGAGCAAGAGGCCCUUUGACUGCUGCCUGUCCGAUAUCUGGGAUAUCUGCUGCCACCCUGGGCACAUUACGUAAGGCUUUUACUUCCUGCACUGCCACUUUGCCAGCACUUGCAAUCAGCUCCUCACUUUUUAACAUCUUUACAGCAGAGGCAGCAUUUGAAAUCACCUUGCCAACUCCCACAACCACAUCUAUCGGGCUGGUUCCCUCUUUGAUCUCAACCUUCAGACAAUCCUGCAGAUCAUGCAUAUCCUUCAUGAAGCUCUGGAAGACUUCACUGGCUUUCUUCUGUUGUGUAACGUUUACUCCAAUCUCUGUGGCAGUGGUGACAGCACUGUUGACUCCGCUGGUAAUUCCCAGCCCUACCCCAGUCAUUGUCAGCACUAAAGACGCUCCAGCUGUUACAGGACUUAAUGCCAAACCAAUGAUGGAAAGCACACCUCCAACUGCCCCCACUGAGCUGCCAGCCACACUGGAGAUCCUUGCCCCCGUGUUCAUCCUGUCGAGCUGAACAGCAUUCUCCUCCAGGUCUUUUAGGAACUGCAGCAUCCGGGGCUGUCGCUCGCUGAACAUAUCGAUGAAGUCAGAACACGGCUCGUCCUGAUACAAGAACACCAUACGGAAGCUCUGGUUCAUCCUGAUGAAGAGAAAAGAAGAAAAUAGGAAAGACUAAAUAAGAUGACACAUCAGUAUGUUACUUUAAAAUUCAGUAGGAAAAUAAUGUAUUUGGGAUCUGUUUUUUGGAACACACAUAGGGGAGGCUACAAGAAGCAGUAUAAUCUACAUAAAACUGAAAUAAGGAAAAGUGACAUUUCAUAAAAUAAACUACAAAAUAGACUGGGGUAUUAACUCCUGAUAGACAAGAACCAUAAUUUACAAUCAAAGUAUCCAUUCAUUUCUGAGUUUAUGCAGUUCAUUAUAAAAAUCAUGAGUUGUGAAUUAUAAUAAUUUUGCCUCUUGUUUAGAUAGUCCACAGCCCUGCUGCUGUGUCUCGAGCUUCUCAUCAACUUUUUUCUUGUUUUAUUUUGUUAUUUUGUGUCUCCCCGGACCACAUUUUGCCGUGAUGACACACACACAGACUCAGACUCAGAAGGUGAAAACAAUACCAGUGUUGUCAUGACUGGUAAAUAAAGCAGCUCUGUGAGGCUGUGCUUAGGCACAGCGGUUUGUUGAGUCAAAUGCUAACGUUUGCAUGCUAACAUGCUGAAGGCAGACAGCUAAAAUGUUUACCAUGUUCACCAUCUUAGU